GCCCUACGGGACGCAGCAGUGAGGAAUAUUGGUCAAUGGGCGGGAGCCUGAACCAGCCAAGUCGCGUGAGGGAAGACGGUCCUAUGGAUUGUAAACCUCUUUUGUCAGGGAGCAACGCCGGCUACGUGUAGCCGGACUGAGAGUACCUGAAGAAAAAGCAUCGGCUAACUCCGUGCCAGCAGCCGCGGUAAUACGGAGGAUGCGAGCGUUAUCCGGAUUUAUUGGGUUUAAAGGGUGCGUAGGCGGAAUGCCAAGUCUGGAGUGAAAGGUACCGGCUCAACCGGUACAGGCUCUGGAAACUGGCG
rnacentral:rRNA from 1 species